ACAAGCACAAUGCGUCCCUUAUAGCAUAAUUCUUUUGAGUCCCGAUUGUAAUGAGCCACGGAGCUUGGUGCUUCCUCUAAUUUUUUUUGUAUCUUACUGGUCUCCAAAUCUUCCUGCCAUUCCAUCCUAAUAUCCUCAAGGAAGUCGCUGGUUGGAAGUAAAACGACCGAAAAUUCAGCUUGCUCAGGUAGCUGCGAAAGCGCAUCUGCAAC
rnacentral:lncRNA from 1 species